ensembl:lncRNA
CAGAUCUGUGAUCAGAGCGCGUCUUGAUCGUAUGGAGGCUGUCUAUGGGCCGGGGGUAAACUAUGGUUAAGGUGAACGCACCCAAAGGCCAAGGCCGCUGUGGUGGUGAACCCGCCGUGGACCGCCGGGGGCCGACCGUUAAGACGUUCACAGUGGGGGCCUCUCCCCCCCAACAAACACACUCACCCUGGGAUUACAGCCUCCGUGGCGACUCCCAACGUCGACUCCCUCACCUUGUGGUUGAAUGAGGCCUUGUGCAAUGCUAAACCCACCUCGUGAAUGUGCCUUUUCAUUCUCCGGCGGCUGGAAACGUUUUUUUUUCCCUUCUGACUCCUAGGAAUGUGUGAGCCGGUUCCUCCGCUGUAGCUUUAUUUCUCAGCCAUGGCCUCCUGGGACGCCCCCGUCGGAUGUACACGCCGCCCUGGCCCGUCCCCCUCCGAGCAGAUCGGAGGGUAACCUCGCCACCUCGCCACCUCGCCUCGUUCGCGGAGCGCUCGGUCGCGUUUCACUCUCACUCUACAUCGUGUUUUCUACGUGCUUGUGCUCUUUCCCCCUGGUUUCUUGUCAUCGUUUGCAGAUUUUUUGUCACCGGCUUGGACUACGAUCCUUUGGACUCGACCCUCCCGGGAUUUACGUUGACGCUUAAACUGUUGGGAUUGUUUAUCUUUUGUACGACUUGGAGGUGAACAAAGAGGCCCGGGGGUUAAAGGAGACCGUGAGCCCCACCUCGCGGCCGUCAGCAUGUCUCUGACGUCAUGAGGCCGCCUUGAAUCCACCCUGUUCGCCGGAUUCCGGUUCAGAGUUUGGACGGCGACAAACCGUGCUUAAUUCACCUGGAGACAAACCUCACCUCCACCGCGCAGGGAGGUCUGCUGCUUCCAUGGGGCCGACCGGAUAGGGGUCGGAACAGGUCGACGCCGGAAUCGACCCUUAAAGGAUCUUCAAACCCAAGCAACGACGACGACGACAACAACAUCAACAAC